ACUCCUACGGGAGGCAGCAGUGGGGAAUAUUGCACAAUGGGGCACGCAAGCCUGAUGCAGCCAUGCCGCGUGUGUGAAGAAGGCCUUCGGGUUGUAAAGCACUUUCAGUUGUGGAGGAAGGUGUGUCGUUAAUAGCGGCAUCAUUUGACGUUAGCAACAGAAGAAGCACCGGCUAACUCCGUGCCAGCAGCCGCGGUAAUACGGAGGGUGCGAGCGUUAAUCGGAAUUACUGGGCGUAAAGCGCAUGCAGGUGGC
rnacentral:rRNA from 1 species